rnacentral:rRNA from 1 species
CCUACGGGAGGCAGCAGUAAGGAAUAUUGGUCAAUGGAGGCAACUCUGAACCAGCCAUGCCGCGUGCAGGAAGACGGCCCUAUGGGUUGUAAACUGCUUUUAUCUGGGAAUAAACCUAUUUACGUGUAAGUAGCUGAAUGUACCAGAAGAAUAAGGAUCGGCUAACUCCGUGCCAGCAGCCGCGGUAAUACGGAGGAUCCAAGCGUUAUCCGGAUUUAUUGGGUUUAAAGGGUGCGUAGGCGGCAGUUUAAGUCAGAGGUAAAAGACGGUAGCUCAACUAUCGCAGUGCCUUUGAUACUGAAUUGCUUGAAUGAACUAGAGGUAGGCGGAAUGAGACAGGUAGCGGUGAAAUGCAUAGAUAUGUCUCAGAACACCGAUUGCGAAGGCAGCUUACUAUGGUUUUAUUGACGCUGAGGCACGAAAGCGUGGGGAUCAAACAGGAUUAGAUACCCUGGUAGUCCACGCCCUAAACGAUGAAUACUCGCUGUUAGCGAUAUACAGUUAGCGGCUAAGCGAAAGCGUUAAGUAUUCCACCUGGGGAGUACGCUCGCAAGAGUGAACUUAAAUGAAUUGACGG